rnacentral:lncRNA from 10 species
GGGGGAGAACAAUCAAGUAGAUGUUAUUUACAGUCAUGGACUGGAGAGCAUUACCUAGAGACUGAGACAGAAGAAAGGAGGUCUGAGCAAUGAGCCCAAGGUCACUGAAGCAUGUACAGAUCAGGAAGACAAGCAAGAUCCUGCAAAGGAAUCAGACAAUAAAACUGAAAAACAGACUAUAUAUAAAUGGACAACUGAGAAAAGAAGAUAGAUGUGGUGAGGAACCAGUCUUCUUGAAUCCCAGGAUUUAAACUGAAACAUUGCCUCUUCCUGGGUCUUGAACAUGCCAGCCUUCAGCCUGUAACUACACCAUUGGCUCUUCUGGGUCUCCAGCUUGUCAACUCACCCUGUAGGUCUUAGGACUUGUCAGCCUCCAUAAUUGGGGACAUGAAGAGCAAGAAAUGGAAACAAGCGAGCCCCACAGAGAGUUCGGAUUAAUGUGCAGUAAUUGCAUCACUGAUAUCUGUGUCCAGUCACAGUUGGCAUUCAAGAUUCUGUUGACUUUUACUGUUGAAGGCUUCCUUUAAGGGAAGCAAACACAAAUAAAAAGGCUGCCUCUCCACUGUAGCAAAGCUAAGUAAGAUCACUGUCCAACCCAGGAUAUCCAAAUUCAUGGUCAAAAAUCCAAAAGGGCUCAUCCAGCGCUUCUGGAGCAGCAGGGAAGCUUUGCCACAGGAUCCAGCAUCUCAGGGCACAGUAUCUUGCAUGGCUGACUUGAUCUCACUUUCUUCCUCGGAGCAGCUGUGUGGCAAUUCAGAGGUGAAGAGGCAGAUAAUUGGACAGUGGAAUUGAGUCCUGUGUGAUACAGAGCUAAAAAAGAAAUUCCUUCAGUAUCAACAGCAGUGUGGAAAGAACCCAACAAACAAAACUCUGUAUGUACAGCAAAUGAAGCCAAAGGGUGGCUUGAGAACAGUGGAGUUCUGCUUGGAUGUGACGAGACCACCAGCCAGAAAGCUCAGAGGCAUUACUCAUGAUGCAAGGCUGCUGUCAAGUAAUGAUUUAACUUAAAAAUGCCAUCUAUUCUUUUCCCUACCUGCCUACUCAGUACAUUGCAAAUUAACAUGAAAAGUGACUUCAGCACAAAUUGUUUAAUUUGUUUUUGUCAGGCCCGAGGUGUUGUGGAAACAAGAGACCCAG